UUAACCUUACUUCAUAGGAUCAUUUCUAUAGUAAGUUAUUCACGAGACACGCAUAGUCAAACAAGGAUAUCUGGUCUUGU
rnacentral:snoRNA from 1 species